GCAAGGUUUGCUUCUCUCUGACGCGACUCCACUCCACCUCAGUUUAAGGCCUCCAUUCUCUCAGGCAGCCCCUCCUCACAGUGCCAGCUCUCCAGCCCCAGAAUCCCUAUUCCUUCCCCUUACCCCUCAGCCCAGGGGUAGUUACAGCUCCCUGUUGCUGCUUGUGUCCAGGUGUCCCCCCUUCCCUGCCUGGACCCUUGGGGACAGUCUCUUCAUGAAACCACCUUUACUUUGGCCCUAGCAGCGCUUGGCAGCCACCUCUCCUCUGCCAGGCUCCUGCAGCUGUUACAUCUCAUGAGGCAAGCCCCCAAAGCAGGCUGGAGGGACCCAGGUCAGCUAAAAUGAGGGGAGACCCAGUUCUUGGAGCCAGAGGCAGGCAGGGGAGGGCGGUCCAGUGGAGACGUCCACGGGGAGGGGUCCUCGGUGGAGUUCACGCUGAUUCCUUCCGUGUUCUCAGUGGACUAGGAGGCAGUGACUGUGCCGGGCGCUAGGACUAGAGACCCAUCACUCCUUUCACAACAGGCUUCCUGAAAUUAUCGUCUGGUUCUUUGCUGAAGGAUAAAGCGUUUUCUCUGCUCUAUUAUUUAGGCUGCUGAGCACCACUGGGUUUGAUUAUUACUAAACUAAUAAGGGGUUAAGGGCGUCGACUCUGGAGCCAGACUGCCCAGCUGGAAUCCUUAUUAUCACCGUUCUGCGAUGUCGGACAGGUAACCCCUGUCUCCAAGCCUCAGCUUUCUCACCUGUAAAAUAGGCGUGCUAAUGACAGGAUCUGCUUCCGAGGGUUCAGGAGGAUUAAAGGAGUUAACACGUAAAACACGCAGAACAGCGCUUGGCCCAUAACGUGCGCCCGGGGCCACUCUUAUCUACAAAAUGAUCGCAGCCAAUUCACAGUUUAGCUGGCGGAUGGGCUGGCCUUGGGGCCAGAUGCCCGGCCCCGUCCCGGCAUCUCAGCAAACUGGCCACGAAGUGAGUAUUCUUGUAAAAGAAGCUUGCAUUUCCAGUCUCCUGCCGCAGUAUCAAAGUGUAAACAGAAAUUGGAGGUGAUUUUGUUGAGGUUUUUCGCGUUUCAUCAGAACUUCCUCUGGUCACAGAGGAACUGAAGGAAUGACCAACCCUGUGUUCCCCUGCGCUUUCCCCUUUUUCCCGUUCCAGAGCCUUUUUCCCACCUCUGUUUCCAAAUUCUGUCCUUCUUCUGAAUUCUCUCUUGGUUCCUCUCAUGUCUCUGCCCAGGACUUUUUUAUUCCUUUUUUCUUCCCCACCUCUAACAUUUUAAUGAAAAAAUGUAAGCAUACAGAAAAGUCAUAAGGAUGGUACAACGAUAGUUAUAUACCUUACACCUAGAUUCAAAAAUUCCCCUUUGCUGUAUUUGCUUUCUUCUUUUUCUUCCUCUCUUCUUUUCUCCCUCUCCUUGAGGAGAAUAAGAACAAUUCCCUACAGAACUCCAGUACCAUUACUGCCCCUAAUAAAAUCAGCAGUAAUUCCAUAUCGUGUAAUAUCUUGUCUGUAUUUGAGUUCCCCAUGGUCUGCCCUUGCUGUUUAACUCUCUGCUCCUGUCUUCCCACCCCUAAACUACAUUCUGAUGCUUAACCCAGCUGCUCUCUUCUUCACAGUGAGAAUUCUCUUGGCAGAAACCGAGGAAUGUUAAAUUAACCACGAGAAAAGGCCAAAGGACUCUGGGAUAAGAUGUCCUAUCUGUAUCUCCCCUGGGUCUGCCUUGGAAAAGGAAAAGCCAGUCCACUUCUGUGGAGCUCUGUCCACGUUCUGCAUCCUUUAUCACCCCCUGUAGCUGGUAGUUUGCAGGUUUGCAUAAUCGAUGGUUCACAACUGACUUGACUCCGGCCAGAGGAAGUUCUGAUGAAGCAAAAUCUCAAGAAAGUAUUACGCCCGCCCAUCAUAGUCUGAGGAGCGGCAGUCUAGUUCCAGUGGGGGAGGGUAACAUGGGUUAUUCUAGGCCAGAAUCAGUCUGUGCCAGAGAUGGAGGGAAACUGUCUUCCAAACAUCCCAGGCCUCACCUGAGUGUCACCAACCUUGUUGGAUGUCAGGUGGGCCUCGGCAGCCUGGAUCCAGCUGCCCCGUGUGAGAGGCCAUGUCACUAACCUGCCCGCCUCCAGGAAGUUCCUCCUCCAGAACUAAUCACACAUAAGUAAAAGCAUCUCCUACAAGAAGAGUGCGUUAGUCUGCUGACAUAACAAAGUACCACAAACUGGGUGACUUGAGAGAAAUUUAUUGUCUCACCGUUCUGGAAGCUAGAAGUCUGAAAUCAAGGUGUGGGUAAGAUUGGGUCCUUCUGAGGGCUGUGAGGGAAGGGUUCACUCCAGGCCUCUCUCCUGGGCUUGUUGAUGGCCAUCUUCCCCCCGUGUCUCUUCACAUCGUCUUCCCUCUCUGUGCAUCUGUCUCCAAAUUUCCCCCCUUGAUAAGGACAUCAGUGAUUUUGGAUCGGGGGCCCACCCUACUCCAGUAUGACCUCAUCUUAACUAGUUACAUCUGCGAUGACCCUAUUUCCAAAUAAGGGCACAUUCUGGGGUUAGGAUCUCAGCACAGGAAUUUUGAGAUGGACACAACUCAGAUCAACUCUGACUUCUGAUGGGAGAAGCAGAGGAGCUGUUCAGUGGUUCAGGAAGGGAUGAUGCUGAGGAAAUCGUUUCAUUUUAGUCUCUCGGUAACUCCGAAAGGAAGGGAAUUCAAGUAUUAUUGCCAUUUUGCAGAUAAGAAAGCUGAAAUAUUUCAGACAGUGUCAUGGAUUGGGCCGUUUCUAUGGAGGGCUAUGAUCGCAACAAUUUUUCCUAAUUUUCUUCUCAGAAGGCAGGCUUUUUUAAAAUCUAGACUUUGCGGGUACCUUCACAUUGGCCCUGUGUGCCCACUGCAAUGCCAACCUGAAUUAAUAACUAAAACUUUUCGGAAUACUAAGAGUAAUUGUAAUAGGGUGAUGAAAUUACAGGUGGAUUUUUCUUUUCUUGACCUAUUCUCUAUUUUCCAAGUGUUUUGUAAAGUGGGAAUGUUGCAUAAUUUAACAUUUUCAUCUAGGGGCCGGCCCGGUGGUGCAGCGGUUAAGGUCACACGCUCCGCUUCUCAGCGGCCCGGGGUUCGCCGGUUCGGAUCCCAGGUGUGGACAUGGCACUGCUUGGCACGCCAUGCUAUGGUAGGCGUCCCCCAUAUAAGUAGAGGAAGAUGGGCAUGGAUGUUAGCUCAGGGCCAGGCUUCCUCAGCAAAAAGAGGAGGACUGGCAGUAGUUAGCUCAGGGCUAAUCUUCCUCAAAAGAAUAAAAAAAUAAAAAUAAAAAAUAAAAUUUUCAUCUUAAGUGUUUUUGGAGUGAGAGAGGCUGAGUUCUAACCAUCCACCUCUGGAAGAGCUAAGACCUUCCUUUCACCUCACCACUUAGUCUCCAGCACCUCCAGCCCAGGCUGAGUCUUUCUCGCACAGGCGUGAGAGGCAGGGGCUGCUCACUUUGUGAGCCACAUCUUUGCUCCAAGACACAGAAGGUGCCUGGGGAUGGUGCCGCAGAGAGGGUCACUUCACCCAGCUGAUCCAUUCCAGACUGAGCUGACUUGUGAAACUGAAUGACUUCAUCAACCUUUGGGUGUAAUUUCACAUCUGCUUCCAUGGAGGAACCUCAGGGCUUACUAUAGAGAGAAAAUAAAGACUGAAUUUCCCUGGCCUGACCGUCCCCUCCUCCCCAAUCCAUUUGGCCAGGAUGGGAGUGAGGCCAGUGGGGGAAGAGAUGGGGAAAGGAGAUAAAGAGAGAAAGGAAGAGGCUAGAGGGGAGGGGCAGAAUUAAUGCCAACAAAGAAGUUGGGAGCUCAUCCACCUUGCCUUCCCACCUCCUAGGCUGCAGAAGAUUCUUGCUUGGUACUCUCUAGAAAUCCUCUCAAAGACAAGGUUACAAGGGCUAGACGACCUCAUAGGCCAACUAGGCAUGUGCUUAGUGGAUGAAGAGAUGUGCAAGUACUAUUGCAAGUCUCUGGUAGGGAAAGUGGCGACUGGCAGUGCCUGCUGACCCUGAGAAUAGUGUUUUCAGGUCCAACAUUUAGGAAUUUGCUCAGAUUGACUCUAGUCAAGCAUCAAAGAAAUUUGCCCAAUAAAUUCCUAGGUAGUCUCCUAGGCAGGUGGCCAUGAACAAUGUCCUAUUAGCAGAACCACUCAAAGGGGGCCAAACUCCAGAGGUGGAUUCAGGAAGAAAAAGCAAGUCCUAUUAAGUGAGUCCCUCACUUAAGAGACAGACGGGGCAAAAUUGCCUGGUAUGUGACAUUUGUCCUCCGUAUCUUCUUCUUCCCCUUUGUGAAUCUCCCUCUAAAUUUCCAGCUAAUUUCAGCGCACCUCGGGUCACACCCCUGAGGCCCACUCUCUGCAAGCAGUUCUCGAGUCUCUCCCCUCCCUCCUCUGAGCCCUCCUCUCUGAGGACCACGCGGCCCCAUCUCACCGGCUCCCAAGUGCACAGACUGCCCCCACUUCCCCCAGCAAUUUCUGUGACUCUGAUUUAGCUUAUAAAUGGGAGACCAGGGGGAGGGAUGUUUUUGUGUGCUCUUUAAUUCCAGUAUGUAAUAAAUUAUGCCUGUUUUGAUUAAUCCUUCAAUAAAUGAACAAAUGAAUGAAUGAAUCUUCAAGACAUUCAGCAACAGCUUUUUAUUAAUGUGGAGUUUAUGUAAUCGCAUCCUGGAUCCAGGAACCAUCCUGGAUGUGCUGCUGGACGCAGGGGCUAGGAGCAAGGCUCUCCUCCCAGGACAGGCAAGGUGAGUGUGCUGGGAGGGGGAGAGCAGCAAAAUGUGGUCAUCCGAACACUCCCAAAAAGCUUCUGGAUCGUGGAUAAGACAUUGUG
ensembl:lncRNA